CAGCAUUGGGCAAAUAGACUGGUCUGGCUACUCACCAGUGCUGAUAAUGUUAAAAGAUCUCUAUGACACCUCUCACCGUAGUCAGUGCAAGCAGAUCUAACACACUUCUUCACCAAAAAUGCUACCCCAGGUGUAGCACAUGCCACCAUUUGGCAAAGGCACAAGGCUGUAGCGCAAUGCCUUCUGAUACGUAGAGCAGCAUAUAUUAAAUAACGCUUCCAACUUCACAUAAAAGAAUGGCAGAAGACACUAUAUGACCUGAUGAGACAAAAUCAAAUUUUUCCGUAACCCUCUCUACGGGACCAGAUAGCCCAAACAACAAGACAGCUUAACCAAUACGCCUUAGAGACAACAAGUCGUACCCUCAAAAGGCUCAAGGCAAUGCAAUACUCACAAGGAAACAAAGCGAGCAAACUGUUAGCAUCCAGAUUGCAUGCAAGCCAAUCAAACCAAAAAAUAGCUUACCUACUAUCACCUACAGGAGAAUAAAUAAUUGCUCCUCGAUACAUUAGCAAUUAUUUAGCACGUUAGCACGUUAUACAAACUCCAAGACAACAUGACCAUACAUCACCCAUCUCGGUUAGAUAUAACCAACUACUUGGACCCUAUUCCCUUGCCCACACUCAUAGACACACAAGCCCAAGACCUCUCAGCACCGAUCACUAAGUAAAAGGAGCACAAAGCAAUCCUAUCCUUACCCAACAACAAGAACCAGUCCCAGACAGGUUCACCAAUUCCCACUACAAGGAAUUCAAUUCCACCUUUACCCCCCACCACACUCACACUUUUAAUGCGUCCGUCACUUCUGCCCAACUGCCCUCAGAUACAUUACUAGC